rnacentral:rRNA from 1 species
CCAGCAUACUCCUACGGGAGGCAGCAGUGGGGAAUAUUGCACAAUGGGCGCAAGCCUGAUGCAGCGACGCCGCGUGAGGGAUGACGGCCUUCGGGUUGUAAACCUCUUUCAGCAGGGAAGAAGCGCGAGUGACGGUACCUGCAGAAGAACACCGGCUAACUACGUGCCAGCAGCCGCGGUAAUUGCCGCGCCGCGGUAUA